AGCCCAUGCACCCGCAGAGCAUGUAGAAGACGGUGGUCACUGCCACGCUGAUCACCGUCGCCCUCUUCAUCACCUUCGCCUCCGACAGCGGAGGCGCUUUGAUCGUGUCCUGAAAUCGUUCGUCAAAAUGCCAAAGUACCUGGAUUUCAAUGAGGAUGAUGGAGUAGGAGUAGGCAAACGCGAUGUCGCCGAAGGCUUGGAAACUGCGCCAGAUUUUGUCCAUUUGGCCAACGGCGGCUAUGCUGAUUCCGGUGAGACUACCUUUGAAUCCGCCAUUUUCUGAUAAAAGAAGAAGAAGAAGAAGAAGAAGAAGAAUUUAGAGCCCCGAACUUAUUUCCCAUGGAACUGAAUCGAGUUGGACGAUCCAACUUCAGCUUACUUAUCACUUGGACGAUGCCGAGCCCAAGGCCGAUGCAAGAGUAGGUGAAGGACAUGACGGCGGCGACGAAGGACAGCCACCAAACCUGGUCGAAGUCACGAAUCUGCGAGAAGAUGAUCUGCACCACACCGAACAUGAUCAUGUAAGGGUUGCUGUUUACGUCACAGGAGGCGUCGUCGUCGUCGUCGUCUGCAUUCUUGUGGAAGCAAUUCGAUCUUUUCACAGCCCUGUGUCGACACAAAACCAACCUCAAACACUCGCCUUCGAAGACAGAUAGCUCGAUGACACAACUGUUCGAUCAAUUUACUCACACCAUGCUAAUGGAAGCAGCGAUGGUGUACCCAAUCGCGACUCCGACGAUGUUGAGGUACUGAAGACAGCCGCACAGCUUCACCUGGAAGCCAUCUGUUUGGAAAUGGAGGUUAGUAAAGACUGUAAUUUUACAGAGUUUGCUUCUCCUUUUUUCAGCGAAUACCAAGGUUGGCACGGACGGCGUCCAUGUAGGUGUAGUUGCGCUUGCCGGCAGCGGGAUCACCAGAGCGGUAGCAGUCGGAGAGGAGAGCAGAUGUGUAGUAAGUUACGAAGGAGAAGAGAAGCAUGGCGGCUGGGCCAAUGACCCAUCCGAGCUGACCGACGGCCCAGGCCAAAGAGAGCACUCCAGAGCCGAUGACUGCAGUCACGAUGUGAGCGCUUGCAGUCCACACAGUGCCUGCGAAGAUGAUAACUUGAGAACAAAAAACUACUGAAACAGUGGAACUGAAGCCUUCUGUGAUUUCUUACCAGUCCUCUUGGGACGACCAUCGUCGUCGAAGCACUCGGAAGCUCCCUGCGAGAGGCCAACUUCUAAUGCUGCCUGGUGGCAGUAGUUGGCAGCACCGAUCUCAUCCAUCUUCGAACUGCAGGUGUUGCACUUCAGUUGCACUGGAUCUGAGCAGCUCUUUAUAGUGGCAAAAUGGAAAUAGUGAACAGAAGUAAUCUAAGGUGGACUCGGUGGAUUCCAUAAAGGUACCACUACUCAUCUCUCAUUAAAGGUGAUGACCACAACAGCCUUCGUGUCUCACUACUGACCUCAUCGGAUUGUUAAUGUUCUUGAAGUAUCCCCACUCCGAUUAACUCGUAGGUAGGUCGGGGUGGGAGCAGUGGCAGGAACUAGGAAGCUUCCAACUGAAAAAUGAUAACAGAAAAAGCAACACGAGAAUCCAAGCUCAAAUGCAUCAGCAAGUAAUUGACUGUAGAAGCUUGUUGGUCAAGAGAUUUAGUAUUUGAUUAUGUUUUAGAAGUUGCUAUUACUCGAGGGCAAUCAAAUCAUACAAACACUGAAUGAAAAUAUCAAAAUUUAUUUAUAAAACUAUGCAGAUGGAGGUGCAGGGUAUCUACAGUGUUAUGGUGUGUUUGUUUCAAACUCUGAUGGUCGCCACAUUGACUUCUGAGCAUACAACAAUCCUUCUUUGCCCUUUGAGAAUGUCAUUCGGAUUUUCCAGUGAAGAGAUUUAGCAAGAUUCUCUAUUGAGGAAAUUGUAUCGACAUGGUCUCUUACGAUCAGAUUUCCUCCGGGUCUUAGCA